rnacentral:sRNA from 1 species
CCGGGGGCCGAGCUGGCUGCGCCCUCCACUGCAAGCGCCGGCAGCGCGGGGCGAGCUCCGGACGGCGCGCGGCCCAGGCAGCGGCUCCCGCUCGGCCCGCCCUCCGAGCCGCAGGGGCCGCCACCGCCGCGGCGCCUCCCCUGGCGACCGCGCCCCCGGGCCCCGGCUCCGGCCCGGGACGGAGGAGCCGGCGCUCGACACAGAGAGCUCUUCAGAACCCAGGCUGCUUUCAGGAACAUUGCUGUGGAUUCCCAGGGCCUAUUCCACUAGAAGCAAGAUGGCUGAACUCAAUACUCAUGUGAAUGUCAAGGAAAAGGUAAGAUCAAGUUAUACGUUGGCUCACAGAAACUCCAAACUAGGUAAUGCAGUUCCUAGCAGGUAAAAACUCAAUUACAGUGGAGAAAGGGAAAAUGGUUUUGGGGGAUACGUAGUAAGUUUGCCACAACAGUAAACUGUUCAGCAGAAAGAAUCAUAAGUAACGUUUACUGAAAGCAUGUUAAGCAUAUGACACUCAUUUUUUCAUUUACUCUUGACCAUCACCCCAUAAAGAAGAUACUGUUGUUAUUUCCAUUUUACAGAGGUGGAAGUUGAGAAACAGAGAAGUAAUUUGGCUAAGUUAACGUAGCUGGUAAACAGCAGAGCUGGGUUUUGAACCAAUGCAGUGUGCCAUUCCACAGUUCAUACUCUUCACCCCCAGGCUGGGUUACAUCUAAGAGCAAGGGUAUUAUAUUACCUCUUCAGAAAUGGACUCAGAGAGAGACAUCCAGUCUAUCACCUGGUGGUCAUGCUGGGCAGCCUUUGAAGUUUCUUUCAACGCUGAGAGUUCAUGACUCUGAAAAUCACCACUUCUCAUGAUUUGUUGGAGACUGAUUCCACUUCAGAGCUCUUUCCAAGUCUAUGCUGCGUCCUCCACUGAGGGCCAGAAUCCCUCACUUGCCACAUAUGCUGCCUUGUAAUGUUAGCUCUUAAGGAUCAUAAACCAUAGACCAUGAAGAUAAAUUUGUCCAACCCAUUUGUCUGACACCAUAGGAACUGAGGCCCUAGCACUGGUUUGCUAGUGGUUGUAUAGGCAAGUGGGAGAGCCUGGACAGGAGCCCAAGCCACCACAGUGCUGGUGCACCUUCCACAGCAUCACCCCAUAGCCUUCUCUGGACUGUAAACCAUGUGAAGGCAGGAGUUUGUCUUUCAUCUCUUUGUAUCCUCACCAUACCAAAAAUACAGAGUGAAGGAUGAGAGAAGUGACAUUUGUGAAGCCAUUACUAUUUUUUCUUUCACUUAGCAACAGGGUAAUAGACCCAAACACCACUCUAGAUGCCUGGGGUAUGGCCCUGAACAUGUAGAUGAAGUUCCUGCUCCCAUGGAGCUCACACUUUAGGGCAGGGAAGCAGAGAAUAAACACAAGAAUAUCUAAAUGAACACAGUUGUUCCAGGCGGUGAUAACAACUGUGGAGAAAACAGCAGGGCAGUGUGAUGAAGGCAAGGGGAGGUGGCUCCUCUGUGUGGGGUGGUCAGGGAAGCCCUUUGGAGGAGGUGACAUUUGAUUGAGAUAAAGAUGGGGAAAUAAACGACCAUACAAAGAUCUGAGGACAGAGAAUUCCAGACAGAGAGAAAAGCAAAGCAGAUGCCUAAGGUUGACUAAGUUGAAUGUGUUUGAUGAGCAGGUGGUCAGUGUGGUCCAGGUGUGGUAGACAAAGGUGAUUGGUGAUGGGAGAUGAAGUCCAAGAAUACCACUUAGAAUCCUGGCUCUCUACCCAGGUCCGUGGAUCUCCAAGGGAUCGCGGUUAGAAUCCAUGGGUCCAUGAAUGUAGAUGAGAACAAAUACAUUUUUAUCUUCACUAACAUCUAAAUGAAAUUUACCGUUUCCUCCAGUCAUGAAUGUAGGCAAAGGCAAAAAAAAAAAAAAAAAAAAAAAAAAAA